UUUCCAAAGAUUUUAAGCUGAAGUGCGGAAGUGGCUGCAACCCGGCAAACCAUGUACCAGCAGUCACAGCCAACCGUGGCCAGAAUUUCCAACCAGAAGACAGAAUUGGUUUGACUGACCUAAUGCUUCAAGAAUGAAGCCCUGGCAUGGAAGUGGCAUAUCUGUACAUUAAUGUCAACAUUCACCGUGUAAUCAGAAAGCAAACAGGAUUUCAUAUUGUGGCAAAAGCUGAACUACUAUUUGCUUUUAUUCCCUGUUCUUUGUGUCAGAUACAUUAAGAGUUUACAAAAGCAGUAAAAGAAUUUCAUUAUGACUAAAAAACCCUCCCCACUGCAAACAAUACCAAGUUUCAGGAGAAAGUCUGUUAGCAGAGAACCAGGGACAGGUAGCUAACGAUACCGUGAACAGGAAAUAUGACGAUAAAACACACCAUAGUGUAGAUGUGCUAAGGUAAUAAAGGAAGAAGCACUUUAUUUUGAUUAGAAAUCCCUAUAAAUGAUAAUUCCUCCAAUUUAGAAAUGGAUAGAAGCCAGUCUGAGAGAUAUGGAUAGUUUUCAUAAACUCACUUUCCACUCACUCAUUUAAUCACUGUUAUUCACACACCAAUACAAAUGCGACCUGCUGAGUAAAUAACUGCAUGAGAUUACCAUGUGACAGAGGAUGCUCAUUUCUCACCGACUCUAAAACUGCAGGAGAUCAGGUUUGAGAUUAUUGUGAACCCAUUAUUCCCAUUGCCGUAAUUAAGAGGGGUGCAAAAACAAACCCUUGUGGGAUUUAGAUUUACACCAGGAAACAACAUAAAAAGCAACAGAACCAGUUACUGGUACACUGCCGCGGCCAGUCUUACUGAAGCAACACCUGCAAAGCAUCCCAGGUUGGCAGCGAGAUGGAGCUAGUGACCUAAUCGUCUUUUUCCACCCUAACUUGUCUGAUUUUACAAAUUGUCAGUCACACCUAAGUGUGAUACCAUAAAACUCCAGCUAUGUGAGAAAGCUGGCAGCACGCUUCAGCUGUGGGAGUUUCCACUUUUAUGUGCAACUGUGUUCUCAUGGACUAAAUGGAAAGAUGAGGGCUUCUUAGGAACAGCAUGGGUGGGUGCCUUUUAAUAUAUGAGAAGAGACAAAAUCCAGUCAUCUAGACAGUUAACAGUCUUGACUAAAUAUUUUCUGCAGCCUGAACUGUUUUAUGGGGGGUUUUCAACGACAGACUCCAGCUUGCCAGCUGCUCAUGCGUGAGUAGAGACUAUUUGGGGUUUCUUUAGGAUGCAAAGCUGCCUUCACUUUGUCAGGGGUCCCAGAGGCAAAGCUAAAUUCUGCCUCCUUUUAUCCCACUAUAAAACUGUAGGAUUCUGUUCAAGUCAGUGGAGACCCUCUGGAUUUAUAUUAUCUACAAUACUUAAACAGGCUCUCAUUACCAUAAUAUCUGAAUGCUUCACACAUUUUAAUGCAUGAAUAUGUAUAUCACACUAAAACAGGAGGAGUUCUGUUACCUCCAUGUUGCAGAUAGGGAUCUGAGCCCAGCAGGACUAAGGGUAUAGCUAUAUCAGUUCCCUGGUGCUCCAAAGAUUGCUGCUCAGCAACACAGCACUACCAUCCAUUCCUACUCUGCAGGCACCAAAGCCAGAAACCCCGAGUCACUUGUGUGAUUUCAGACUCCGGUACCCGUGAGAGCAGCAGCAGGGAACCUCCUGAGAACAGCUUCACCAGUGCAGGCUGGGAGGGAGGACAAGGCCAUUCUUCUCUGUGGCGGGCGUGAGAGCCCUGGAGAAGCAGUAUAGAUGUACACUGAGUGGUUUGUCCAAGGUAAAACAGGAAAGCCUAUAGUAGAACUAUGACUUGAUCCUAAAUCUUCCACAUUUCAGACUAGUAGAUCAUAGACGAUCCAUUCUCUCCCUGGGCUAAGGGAGCAGGGUUGGCCUUGUACCUCCCAAAUUCAGGAUUUUGGUGUAGUCCAUUCUAAAGAAAAAGUCACUCGAGAAAUUUGAAGUGAGAAUCCAAGCAGAACUUUCCAGAAGUCUGGGGUAUUCAAAAUUAGGUUUUGGUCUGGGUCUUUCUCUACUACAUACAUAUGUUAAGAAUGUAUAUCCACCGCUGACAAGGCUUUCCCAGGUGUUUUCUACUGGGACAAAUUCACAAUGGUACAGUUAAUCAUGAUGUUUUAAGCAUAUAUUUAAUCUUCAGAUGAAAGCUGCUAUAGACAGGAAAAGUGUUUAAUAAUCAGAUCUACAAACCCCAAAUCGAGGUUAGGUUCAUGAAAGUUCACAUACCUUUUCAUAAACUCAGGCCAAAUGUUGAAUGAAUCUGAGUCAAGUUAUCAUUUUAGAUGGAAAUUGUAUGUCACUCAGCAAACAUUUCCCAAGAUUUUGAUUCCAGUUUAGGCAAAGCGUGACAGUUUUAGAUGAGUUUUUUUGUAGGUUCAUUCAUCCAUGACAUUUGAAACUGAAUACAAAAAUCAGUGGAUGCAACCCCACUUAAUCAAUAAAAAGUUACCCUAAACCACUAAAUGAUGUCUACUAAGUUUUGGACAGUUCCAGCUUUUUCUGAUUUGUUGAGAAAAAAACAGUAUGUGAUUGUGUUUCUUCUCAGCUCUUUUAGAGUAUAAGACAGGCCAAGCUGGACAGGCUCGCGAGGAGGGUGGACCUCAACCAGAUGUCAUUUAACACAGAGAAAUGUAAAGUGCUCCAUCUGGGGAGAAAUAAUCCACGACACACUUACAGGCUCGGCAGUGCUACACGUGCUAACACCACAUCUGAAUGAGACCUGGGUGUCAUGAUAGACAACAAAAUGAACAUAAGCCACCAAUGCGAUGCCAUAGCUGGCAGAGCUAAUCAAACACUGGCAUGCAUCUACCGAGCCAUCUUGAGCAAGGCUAAGGAUGUCAUCCUCCCUCUCUGCUCAGCCUUGGUGAGACCACAGCUGGAGUGCUGCAUCCAGUUAUGGGCACCACACUUCAGGAAGGAUGUGGAGAAGCUCAAGUGAGUCAAAGGAGGGCCACACACAUGAGUAGAUACCUAGAGACCAAGUCAUAUGAGGAGAGACUGAAAGAAUUGGGACUGUUCAGCAUGGAGAAGAAAAGACUUAAAGGGGAUUUGGUGGCAACCUAUAAGUAUAGCAAGGAUGUACAUCAGGGCCUGGGGGAGCAUCUGUUCACCAAGGCCCCCCAGGGGAGGACAAGCAAUAAUGGGCACCAGCUGAUUGAGGAUCACGUCAGGCUAGAUGUAGGGAAAAACUUCUUUACAAGUCAAGUGCUAAGGGGCUGGAACAGACUCCCCCCCCCAGAGGCAGUACAGUCACCCACCUUGGCAAUCUUUAAAAAGUGUCUUGACGCCCAUCUUGCUGGAGCCAUCUGGCCCCAGCAGUCUUUUCUGCCCAACUGCAGGGGGGCUGGACCCAAUGAUCUGUAAGGUCCCUUCCAGCCCCUAACAUCUAUGAAACUAUGAAACUCUGAGAAGAUAGUGAUAUGCUACAAUAUUCCCUGUAUUGGAAAAGUAUUUUGAUUAAACUCCAGAGUGGAAACUUGCCUUUA